UGCUUAGAGGGUGUAGUGAUGGAGAAAUAUUUCCACUAUCCAAAAAAUACAUCAGUUUCUGAAUAUUUAGAGAAGCUUGUGAAAUUCUUCAUACCUUUCUGCUCCUUGAAGUCUGUGGUAACUCUUUUGUAUGCUGUUUCCUUCCAGCUUUAUGUACCACAUGGUACCAAAUAUCUGUAGCAGAGAUUGGGAAACCUCUGUUUAGCAGGUCUGGUUUAUGGUUAUGCUAUAAAUAGAGGUGAAACAUGUAACUCAUUUCAAGAAUAAUUUCUUCACUGAGAUCACAGGAUCAUUUAAAGCUGUCCAAACACUUAGGAUGAGUGUCCAGAUAGUCUUUCUUUUUUUUUCUCAGGAAAUUUGGAAGUGGGACAGUUUACUCACUGUAGAUGAUUCAUAUCUUUAUAUCCUAGUUUGAAGUGGUUCACCACACCAUGGCCACAACUUCAAAAGUGUCAGAUGAUCAUCAGACAUCACUCCUGCCUAGCAAAGAAAUGCAAACAUCCUUACCAUCAAGAGAGCUAAGUGGGGUAGUACUGAAGCAUGCCAGGCAAGGAAGUCACUUCAAAGUAAAGCUGAAACACGUGAAGAAGUUGUGGGGGAGAGAGCACUAGGAGGAGGAAAUUAGUUUGACCUUGGCUUAUUAAAGAGUAACGUAUGCUGAUGAAUUGGUGAAUUUAGGCACUGCUAAAAUUGAUAGUACAGGAUGAAAAUGAUAUCUGCCUUUUAUUAAUAGAGUUGGUAUAAAAUAGCAAAUGUAAGAAAAAUGUAAUUUGGACAAGGAAUCCAUUUUAAUGGGAAAAUACUUUGUUGUCAAUGGUAAUUGAUAUUAUUUGUGUUGGAGUUGUGUUCAGGGUCCGCUUUGGGAUGAGAGCAUAGGGAGGAACCACACUGCACAUUUGUUCUGUGUAUGUCUAAAAAGAUUCCCUGUCUUCACAGUUCACAGGUCCCACAGGGGUGGGAUAAAGGGAGUUCCUGCUUACAGAAAGCAGUGAGGGCAGGAGCUUAACGUCAGGACUUUGAAAUAUCCUUGAAAUUACUCGGUAAAAUGUAGUUUAUAGAUGUGUAAAGCUCUUCUAGGUAUUUUGGUAUACUUUAGAUUUUUCUGGGUUUUUUUUGUGUGGUGGUUUGGGUUUUUUUUAAUUUCUUUCCCCUCCUUCUAAAGUCUGGCCUGAGAUCUUAAAAGAUGCUAUAGUUUAGAGCUUUGUAUUCAUAAUAUUUGGCACUUUCUAAUCUCUUAUUUUAGUUCACUCUA